rnacentral:lncRNA from 1 species
AUAAACUCAUCUAUUUCUAAAUAAAGACUCUGAAAUUGGAUGAAAAAGAAAAUUGAGCCCAUUGAUGUUGCAAGAAACACCAAAAAUUUAAUAAUCCAGAAAGACCAUCACUAAUUCAAAGAAAAGUGACAUAGCAAAGUUCAUAUCAAAAAACAGAAUAGAAGGAGAGCACUAAUAGGAUAAAGGAAGUUAUUAAUUAAUGGUCACAGCCACACUCCAACAUGAAGAUGUGAAAGUAGUGAAUCCAUAUACCUUUGAAACACAGCCUGAAGUAUCAAAACAAAAAUGGACCCAAUUACACAGGGGAAUGAAUUGACAAACUCACAACGAUAGCUGGAGAUUUUAAUGAACAUGCCAGACACUGUUAGUUGCCCUCUUUUUUCACUUGCUACCAGAACAUCAUUCUCGGGGUGGGGGAGUCACUUGCUCCAGGAAGGCCUUGAGUUGGCAUUUAGAAGUUCCUACCUAGAACUUCUAAGGCACGUUUUUCUUUGUUUCCCCAAAGAUGUGUUUUACAUGGACUGUGUUGAUUUUUUUCCUUCCUCCUUAUAUAGCAUUAAGAAGAAAAGAAAGAGCACUUGGAGGUCUGCUUGGAGAUCCCUGAGGUUUUUCACAGGCACAAUGUCCUUAUUUGGGAGCCUCAAAAUACCAGACUAACAUUGCUCAAAGCAGCUUUGGGAAGAGGGCAGGUGUCUGAGAUGCUGAGAGGCCAACUGAGCAGUUUUUUAGCUGGAGCCAUGGGCCACACCAGGAACAAACCACUGGACCAAAUUGACUCAGGACACCUGCUCUGGACCCAGUUUCUUCUCAUGUCUCCUCACCCCUAACUCUGCCCACCACCUCCCACUUCCUCUCUGUUCCCCAUCCCAUCCCAGGUUUGUAUUUAAAUUUCUGCAUAAUGCAUGUUCUCUGCAUGUUCUGAAGUACUUUCCAUCAAGUCCUUCAUUUUAAAAGUGUUUCUUUUAAAUGAAGCUGUGCAUAACCUCUUUUUGAGGCUCUCUUUGGCUUUUCUUGCACAAUUUUAAAUUGACCAGGUCUACUUGCAAAAAUAGACACUUUUUCUGCUCUUUGUUCUAAGUCUCCUU